rnacentral:lncRNA from 1 species
CAGACUAUUAAAAAAAAACUGAUUUUGAGCUUGCAUGUCAAAAAUAUUUAUCAAGGACUUUCUUAUUUGCAGAAGAAAACUACAGCAAGGCAAAGCAGUUCUUUAAAAAAGUGAAGAAAUAUUAGAUAUAUUCAACUGAUUUACUUUAAAUAGACUAAUAAAAAAUUCUGAAAGGAGGCCUCAAAACACAGACAAUUAAAAAAAACUGAUUGUGAGCUUGCAUGUCAAAAUUAUUUAUCAAGGACUUUCUAAUUUGCAGAAAGAAAACU